GCUAUCUCUCAGAGCAAUCUGUCUAUUUGCUGGUAUGUCUGUGUAUCUAUAACUGAGUAUACGUAUGUCUGAGAGCACUUCAUGGGAGUUCAAGGGGAGAGAUAGAGAAGAAUUUUUCCCUUCCAAACAGCAGAAAUUUAUGGAAAGGGUCUGUUGUGUCCUUGAGCCAAUGUUUCACUGCUUCAUGAAAAAUCCCCGCAGCUCAAUGGGACUGACAUCUGAGAUGGCCAGUAGAUGUCUGCACCUGGGAAUAAGGU